rnacentral:rRNA from 1 species
GACGGGGGGGGCAAGUGUUCUUCGGAAUGACUGGGCGUAAAGGGCACGUAGGCGGUGAAUCGGGUUGAAAGUGAAAGUCGCCAAAAAGUGGCGGAAUGCUCUCGAAACCAGUUCACUUGAGUGAGACAGAGGAGAGUGGAAUUUCGUGUGUAGGGGUGAAAUCCGUAAAUAUACGAAGGAACGCCAAAAGCGAAGGCAGCUCUCUGGGUCCCUACCGACGCUGGGGUACGAAAGCAUGGGGAGCGAACAGG